CAGCCGCCGCGGUAAUACCGGCGGCCCGAGUGGCGGCCACUAUUAUUGGGCCUAAAGCGUCCGUAGCCGGGCUGGUAAGUCCUCCGGGAAAUCUGGUCGCUUAACGAUCAGACUUCCGGAGGAUACUGCUGGCCUAGGGACCGGGAGAGGCCGAGGGUAUUCCCGGGGUAGGGGUGAAAUCCUAUAAUCCCGGGAGGACCACCUGUGGCGAAGGCGCUCGGCUGGGACGCGUCCGACGGUGAGGGACGAAGGCCAGGGGAGCAAACCGGAUUAGAUACCCGGGUAGUCCUGGCUGUAAACGAUGCGGACUUUGUGUCGGACAAGCUAUGAGCUUGUCCGGUGCCGGAGGGAAACCGUUAAGUCCGCCGCCUGGGGAGUACGGCCGCAAGGCUGAAACUUAAAGGAAUUGGCGGG
rnacentral:rRNA from 1 species